rnacentral:tRNA from 1 species
GCCGGGGUGGCGGAAUAGGUAGACGCUACGGACUUAAAAUCCGUUGGGCGUUUCGCCCGUGCGGGUUCGAUUCCCGCCUCCGGCACCA